rnacentral:lncRNA from 1 species
GUUCGUACAUAAUCAUUUGGUACACUUAUUUACCAUAGAAUUUCAUAUUACUUUUCUCUUUCUUUCCCGUUGAACACUCGGAAUAAAGAUUGGAUACGCGGAUAUAAUGCACCGAAGUGCCUGAAUGUAGCCUUGGCUACUAGAAAGAAUGUGCAUCGAAGUGCCUCAUAUCAUAGAAGCACAUGCCGCUCUCAACAGGGGCUACUCAAAGAGCUAAAGAGUAUCUGAACACAACUCAGGAUACCGAGCACCCGGACCCUAG